rnacentral:rRNA from 1 species
GAUCCUGGCUCAGGACGAACGCUGGCGGCACGCUUAACACAUGCAAGUCGAACGAAGUUAUUUGAGCUUGCUUAGAUAACUUAGUGGCGGACGGGUGAGUAACACGUGAGCAAUCUGCCUUUCAGAGGGGGAUACCGAUUGGAAACGAUCGUUAAUACCGCAUAACAUAGUAAAUUCGCAUGUUUUUACUAUCAAAGAUUUAUCGCUGAAAGAUGAGCUCGCGUCUGAUUAGGUAGUUGG